rnacentral:rRNA from 1 species
UUGAACGCUGGCGGCAUGCUUUACACAUGCAAGUCGAACGGUAACAGGGAGCUUGCUCCGCUGACGAGUGGCGAACGGGUGAGUAAUAUAUCGGAACGUACCAAGAGUGGGGGAUAACGUAGCGAAAGUUACGCUAAUACCGCAUACGAUCUAUGGAUGAAAGUGGGGGAUCGCAAGACCUCAUGCUCCUGGAGCGGCCGAUAUCUGAUUAGCUAGUUGGUGAGGUAAAGGCUCACCAAGGCGACGAUCAGUAGCUGGUCUGAGAGGACGACCAGCCACACUGGAACUGAGACACGGUCCAGACUCCUACGGGAGGCAGCAGUGGGGAAUUUUGGACAAUGGGCGCAAGCCUGAUCCAGCAAUGCCGCGUGAGUGAAGAAGGCCUUCGGGUUGUAAAGCUCUUUUGUCAGGGAAGAAACGGGAGUGGCUAAUAUCUGCUUCUAAUGACGGUACCUGAAGAAUAAGCACCGGCUAACUACGUG